UGUGUCAUGACUUUCUCGACAGGAGAUGUUUCGGGGGGAAUGAAUUUAAAAGCUGACCUCCGUGGCUGCAGUUGGGACGCCUGGUGGCUGAGCUUGGGUGAGAUGCCCUCUGGAAGAGUAUUGCUUAGACACAGCUGGUCUCAGAGAAGAUUCAAACACAGUAGCUCAAACCCAUCGAAAGGUCAAAAUCUUGAUCGUUACUUGCCUGCUGUGAAGCCGGUAGCUGUGCUCAUUCUAUUUCGGAGAGGGGGAAGCGACACACAGCCGCUGAGCUCCCUUGCCCACGGCUACGCAGGAAAAACAGCAGGGUUUCAGUAAAAACAAGCCUCAGAAUUUGAUACAGCAGCAUGUGGAUAACACUGACAUUCCUGUUGUCCUGAUUUAAAGGAAAGAAGGGACUUAUUUAAAUCUGAAGCUGGAUGAUGUAUUCUGCCUUUAGUCUACUGAAAAAACAUCUGGUGCCUGGAAGCAGCAAAUAUGUUGCUUGUUAAACCAAGCAGGCAAUUCUGUUAUUCUUGUAGCAGUGAAGUUUAUGGAAACCCCAAGCCCUGAUAUAGGAUAGCCCCAUUUCCCUGAAAGUUUUCGGUUACUGACUUAGAGUGAUUUUUAUAGAUUAUGGCACUUUUACUGUUGUCACCACAAUACAGAGCUAGUUACUAAAAUAAGCCUGUGCUAGCUACUCAGGCUGAAGUCAGAGAUGAGGCAUCUAUCGACUUGAAUAGAGCUGAGACCUUGUGUUAAUACCUUAGUACAUUUUUAGGUUAAGAGCAGGAGAUCUGCUCCUUAGGACGUAGGGCCGUGUCAAACCCUGUUCUUCCCAACCUUACCCGCUCCCACCUUGCUUGCAAUGCUGGUCCUCACACGUCUUUGCCUACUGGCCGUAUUUGGGGUCCUUCAGAGGCCAGUAUCUCUCCUUAGACUGGGUCUUGGUAGAAGGCUGUAAAGUCGGUAGAGCAGGUUGAGAUCGAAAGGCCAGAUCCGAAAAACUGGCGCUGAGCCUAAAGCGGCUCUGUGCUAGGCUUUCUGUGGGUAAGAUAAGUGGGUGGGAUAAAUCUCCCUGCUGGGCAGAGGUAUCUGGUGUGGCAGGCACCAAGCUCAGACAAGGUAGGUUGAAAUCCCCUUUCCUUUUAGAAAGGACAGGAGAAGAGGAAGGGAAAUGGGGCUGUUUCAAGAGGGAUAAAAAGAGAUAGCAGAGCAGUUUUCUUAUCUCUAGGCCAUUCAUAAUUUCAAGCUUAUGCUCUCAUUGUCAGGACUGCAAGGCCUGAAUUACAUACACAGAUUAUUAAAACAAAUCUUUGCAGACGAGGGAAGGGAUCCGCUAAUACUGUGUUGGAAAUUGUAGCCAGUGAUGUCUAUUUUUUUAACUAUACCAGCUUCAAUGCAUGAUACAGUGUUGGAAAGAAUGGAAUUUUGCUUAUUUUAAAAUAAACCUCUAAUAUUUGUUCUGAUCA
rnacentral:lncRNA from 1 species